rfam:Metarhizium acridum CQMa 102 unplaced genomic scaffold Scf_011, whole genome shotgun sequence.
GGCAAGAUGGCCGAGUGGUUAAGGCGAAAGCCUCGAAAGCUUUUGGGUUCGCCCGCGUGUGUUCGAAUCACACUCUUGUCG